rnacentral:rRNA from 1 species
GGACGAACGCUGGCGGCGUGCCUAACACAUGCAAGUCGAGCGAGGAGAUCCUUCGGGAUGAUCCUAGCGGCGGACGGGUGAGUAACACGUGGGCAACCUGCCUCAUAGAGAGGAAUAGCCUUCCGAAAGGGAGAUUAAUACCUCAUAACAUUGCAGUUUCGCAUGGAACAGCAAUUAAGGAGUAAUCCGCUAUGAGAUGGGCCCGCGGCGCAUUAGCUAGUUGGUGAGGUAACGGCUCACCAAGGCGACGAUGCGUAGCCGACCUGAGAGGGUGAUCGGCCACAUUGGGACUGAGACACGGCCCAGACUCCUACGGGAGGCAGCAGUGGGGAAUAUUGCACAAUGGGGGAAACCCUGAUGCAAGCAACGCCGCGUGAGUGAUGACGGCCUUCGGGUUGUAAAGCUCUGUCUUCAGGGACGAUAAUGACGGUACCUGAGGAGGAAGCCACGGCUAACUACGUGCCAGCAGCGGC